UUGGUUCUUCUUUUUAUUCAU
rnacentral:piRNA from 1 species